rnacentral:rRNA from 1 species
AGGUUAAGUUAAUAAGGGCGCAUGGUGGAUGCCUUGGCACUAGAAGGCGAUGAAGGACGUGACUAACUACGAUAUGCCUCGGUUAGCUGUAAGUAAGCUUACCCGGGGGUUUCCGAAUGGGGCAACCCGAUCUUAAUGAUCAUCAUCUUUUUGAAUUCAUAGAUUAGAUGAAGCAAACGCUGUGAACUGAAACAUCUAAGUAGCAGUAGGAAAGUAAAGAAAUUUCGAUUCCGUCAGUAGCGGCGAGCGAACGCGGAAGAGCCCAAACCUGGAUGCUUGCAUCCAGGGGUUGUAGGACUGAUGUUGAGUUACAAAGGUAUAAGAUAGCAGAAACAGUUGGGAAGCUGUUCCAAAGAGGGUGACAGGCCCGUAUGCGAAAUCUUGUACUCUCUAAUCAGGAUCCUGAGUACGGCCCAGCACGYGAAAUUGGGUCGGAAUCUGGGAGGACCAUCUCCCAAGGCUAAAUACUAACUAGUGACCGAUAGCGAACAAGUACCGUGAGGGAAAGGUGAAAAGAACCCCGGAAGGGGAGUGAAAUAGUUCGUGAAACCGUGUGCUUACAAGAAGUUCGAGGCCGUUAAUGGCUGAGAGCGUGCUUUUUGUAGAAUGA